AUUGAACGCUGGCGGCAGGCCUAACACAUGCAAGUCGAACGAGUGGCGGACGGGUGAGUAAUGUCUGGGCAACUGCCUGAUGGAGGGGGAUAACUACUGGAAACGGUAGCUAAUACCGCAUACCAUCGGAUGUGCCCAGAUGGGAUUAGCUAGUAGGUGGGGUAAAGGCUCACCUAGGCGACGAUCCCUAGCUGGUCUGAGAGGGUGACCGGCCACACUGGAACUGAGACACGGUCCAGACUCCUAGGGGAGGCAGCAGGAGGGAAUAUUGCACAAUGGGCGCAAGCCUGAUGCAGCCAUGCCGCGUGUAUGAAGAAGGCCUUCGGGUUGUAAAGUUCUUUCAGUGGAGAGGCGUUACCCACAGAAGAAGCACCGGCUAACUCCGUGCCAGCAGCCGCGGUAAUAC
rnacentral:rRNA from 1 species